rnacentral:rRNA from 1 species
GACGAACGCUGGCGGCGUGCUUAACACAUGCAAGUCGAACGGAAAGGCCCUGCUUUUGUGGGGUGCUCGAGUGGCGAACGGGUGAGUAACACGUGAGUAACCUGCCCUUGACUUUGGGAUAACUUCAGGAAACUGGGGCUAAUACCGGAUAGGAGCUCCUGCUGCAUGGUGGGGGUUGGAAAGUUUCGGCGGUUGGGGAUGGACUCGCGGCUUAUCAGCUUGUUGGUGGGGUAGUGGCUUACCAAGGCUUUGACGGGUAGCCGGCCUGAGAGGGUGACCGGCCAAAUUGGAACUGAGAUACGGCCCAGACUCCUACGGGAGGCAGCAGUGGGGAAUAUUGCACAAUGGGCGGAAGCCUGAUGAAGCAACGCCGCGUGCGGGAUGACGGCCUUCGGGUUGUAAACCGCUUUCGCCUGUGACGAAGCGUGAGUGACGGUAAUGGGUAAAGAAGCACCGGCUAACUACGUG